GACGAACGCUGGCGGCGUGCUUAACACAUGCAAGUCGAGCGAUGAAACACCUUCGGGUGCGGAUUAGCGGCGAACGGGUGAGGAACACGUGAGGAAUCUGCCUUCCACUCUGGGAUAACUCCGGGAAACCGGGGCUAAUACCGGAUACUUUCAACUGGCGGCAUCGCCGGUUGAAGAAAGUUUUUCGGUGGAAGAUGACCUCGCGGCCUAUCAGCUUGUUGGUGAGGUAAAGGCUCACCAAGGCGACGACGGGUAGCCGGCCUGCGCGGGCGGCCGGGCACACUGGGACUGAGACACGGCCCAGACUCCUACGGGAGGCAGCAGUGGGGAAUAUUGGGAAAUGGAGGAAACUCUGACCCAGCGACGCCGCGUGAGGGAUGAAGGCCUUCGGGUUGUAAACCUCUUUCAGCAGGGAAUAAGCGAAAGUGAAGGUACCUGCAGAAGAAGCACCGGCUAACUAUGUGCCAGCCGCCGCCGUAA
rnacentral:rRNA from 1 species